CUCCACUCAGCCUUAAAGGUAAAAUAUCAUGUACUUCUGUCAUUGAUUUUUGUGAAACAGCUUGCAGCCUUACCUGAAAGAAGAUUUCUGUGAACAUGUCGGACCCCGAGAACCCAGCUCAGCCUCUCUUAAGAGCUCCCAACCAGCCAGCAGCAGUCAAUGCAGGAGAAACAACAGAGAAUCGCCGCUCCAGCCGGGCCUAUAAGAUGGCAGCUUUAACCCUGUUGGCCUGUGUCCUGAUUGUGGGCCAGGCGAUGAUCGCCUACUUCCUCCUCAGCCAGAGGAACGACAUCAAAUCCCUGGAGGAGCAGAACAACAACAUGAAGACAGAGCUGACGAAGGGAAGAUCUGUGUCUGUGCCAGUGCGGAUGCACAUGCCCAUGAACGCCUUGACCAUGCUGACUGAUGACUAUGUGGAAGAGGAGGCUUCCACUGAUAAAAUGGUCCCUCUGCAGGGCACCGACUGCCAGCUGGAGGCUGCUGGUGUGAAGGCCACGCAGCCUCCAGGUUUCCGCCCUGCCUGUGAUGAGCGUGGCCUCUACAAGGCCCAGCAGUGCUUUAUGAGAACUUGCUGGUGUGUGAAUCCAGUCAAUGGGGAACAAAUCCCUGGAUCCGUGAGCAAUGGACCAGCCAGAUGCAGCAUGGCUGUGCGCACUGGUGAGACAAGAUAACUGAUCACAAAGCGGCAUGAGCAACAUGCUGACUGUACACGAUGUUGAUGUCUAAUACUGUGACAUCAGCAACAGGUCAACUCCAAAUCCUGAAGAUGCAACUUUGCCAACUUAUAAUCAGUAGUCGCUUUUCUAUAAUCUUAUUAUCUGCAAUUAAUAUUUUACAGACAGAUGUAACCUUUGCUAUUGAUUACUUAACAUCUUUCAGUUUUUUUUAAAUGGUUAGUAAAAGUUAAGGGUUAUAGAAUAGUGUGUUCUUGCUUUGCAGACUUAAAAAAAAAAAAGUUUUAUUCAAAUUGUGUCUAAUAUCAGUUUGAUUAGAAGUUAGGUGAUGUUGGGAAGUUAGUAAACAGCAGUGACUUAAAAUAAUAAAAGUAUGAACUGAGUGGCAAUUCAGUUGAGUGUGGGCAUGGAGUAAUUAUUAAUAUAUUUUUUGUUAAGAGUAGAUUUUUGGCAAAAUGUAAAUGAAAUCAAGAUCUGUCCAGUGCCCGUUUACAUUAUACUUUUGAAUUAUUCAGAUCAUGAACAUGGUGACUUGGUCUAUGAACAUUUGGCUUAAAGUUAAAGGGGUGAAACUAUGAUUAAAAUUAUUGUCACACAUUUGGGCAAAAUUGGGAACAAAUGAAACAAGUACAAACUGUAUUUUCCCCAUUUAUUUGAACAUCCCAAAUAAACUUGUUAAAGACA